rnacentral:rRNA from 1 species
CACGGGGGGAGCAAGCGUUGUUCGGAAUCACUGGGCGUAAAGGGCGUGUAGGCGGUCAAGUAAGUGGAAUGUGAAAUCCCUCGGCUUACCCGAGGACCUGCAUCCCAAACUGCUUGGCUUGAGUACGGGAGAGGAUGAGGGAAUUCCUGGUGUAGCGGUGAAAUGCGUAGAUAUCAGGAGGAACACCGGUGGCGAAGGCGGCUCUCUGGGACGGUACUGACGCUGAGACGCGAAAGCGUGGGGAGCGAACAGG